GGAGGCUGGGGUGGCGAAGUUUCUCCUGAAGAGAGUCUGCAGCGGGGAGGGAGGGGCAGGUUCCAGAAAACCCCAGAUGGACCACAGACGAUGGAAUGCGUGAGAUAGUGGUAAAAAGAAAAUUUCGGUGUUUGAGGUUUCAGGCCAAGACCAGGCAGACCUUGGAUGUCUAGUGGGGGCCAGAUGGCAAGGACUGGGGUUCAUGGUGGUGCGAACGACUCCCCUCACGGCCAGGAAGGAGAGAAAGGGGAGGGGAGGGCCGAGACCAGAAGAGGGCAGGGCCCCCAACUCUGCAGCCACACUCCCAGUGACCUAAGGGCGCGGCUCUGUUUACGGGGACACGCAGGACCCAAGCUGACAAUCCUCUCAGCCUCUCCCGGACUGGGGUGCAGUCAGUGAGAGCCAACUCCAGUCACCAAGGGCCGGGCUGGAGGGCCGGGCUCUUCACGUGAGUGGUGCAAAUCUUUUCUGCAGAGCGAACGCUCCCACAGCGGUUCUUCUCGCCAGGAAUGACGCUCCGGAUAGGGGAGAUGGGAAGGCCAGGCAGGCAGGCUGCGCAGAACUGGGCGAUGGCUGCAGUGGGGACCAUGACAGCUGGGAGGUUCUACAAACCUACAGCAGCGAUGGAGCCAGACCUUAGGACAUGGCGGGGAUCGGUCAGACGGUGAUGAGGAAGACUGGGGAAGGUUACUCCGUCCAUCCCUCCACGCUUGGGAUAUCUUGGGGUGAAGUCAUUUUGGAGGAUGCUGCCAGCUGAGCCCCAAUAUCUGUAGACGACGUAGGACUCCUGAGAAGCAAAUUCUGUCAGUGUUGAGGGGUCUAAAAGAGUGUAUGGUGACUACUGGAUUCCCAGAAUUGCGGACGUCAUUGAAUCUCCGCUUUCUUUUCUUGGGGUGGAUGGUGCGUGCUCGAAAUUGAUCUGGGAGCUUUUGAAUUGAGCUCUAUUCCCAGCCCUUUUAAUUUUUUUAGUUUCGAGACAGAGUUUCACUCAAUUGUUACAUUUCUGGGCUGGGCUUGUAAUUGUAAUCUUCCGCCUCAGCCUGUACCUCCAUAACCACCUGGCUGGCUGGCUUCCCUCCGUUUUCAUCUCCCCUCUCCCCCUAUCACCGCGUACAGGAAAUCCAGAACUCUUGCAUUUGCAUCUCCUUUUCCUACCCGAGUUAGGCCACGGUCUUCUCUCACUUUCAAAACAAAAUUUCCAAUUUCAGUUUGCAAGAACAAAGCUUUCCUAGACCUCAGUUACUCAGACUGCCACGUGCAGUCUGCAGUCUGCAGAGCGAUUUCAGGUUCAGGGCGAGUUGGGGGGGCGGUGCUGGGCUGUGGCCCGGUGGGGAGCGCUUUCCUAGCUGCAUGAGCCCUGAGUUGCAACCCCAGCUGCACACACAGACACACACACACACGUGACAUCCUGGCACAAAUCCUCCAUUGUAGGUCUACAUGGCACCUAUUUCUUGGGGUUAUCAUGACAAAGAAACACAGAAAUGGACUCUCCCUGUCCCAUGAGCUAAAGUCUAAAAUCAAGGUGAAGCCUCCCCGAAAGGAUCUUUUGCCUCUUCCUGUGUCCGGUGGUCACCCCCAGCUCAGUUGCUCUUGUCUGCUUUUGUCUUCAUAUGGCCGUCUUCCCUGUGCGUCUCUGUGUCUCUCCCCACUUCUUACUUUAAAAAUUUUUAUUUUGUCAUGAUUGAAACAGGGCCUUAGCAGCGAGCCUCAUCUCCAGCUGUUUUUAUUUUCUACUUGAGUCAGGGCCUCACUAUAUCUCUUAAGUUGCCCAGGUUGGGCUCAUACUUGUGAUUCCCCUGCCUCAGCCUCCCAGGUGCUCGGACGACAGGCGUGCCUGCACCCAGCUUCCUCCUCUUCCUAUGAGCACUGUCGUUGGAUCUAGAGCUGCCCUGCCCAUCUCGACCUACUACCUCGGCAUGACCUGUGCUCAGCUGAAGUCACGUUCGAGGUUCCAGGGGACUUGCGCUUUGGGAGGACGCUGUUCAGCCCACUAAGCCGUCAGACAGGGGUCUCCAAGGACGAAGCGCCCUGUGGAGAACGGACGCGCGGUGCCAGAUCGCUGUAGGAGCCACCACGCCAGGGCCAUUUGAACUCAGUGCACGUGGCAGGGCUGUCAGCUCAUCCCCCUGACGCAGUCGGCAGGGGACAGGAGCGCACCACCUUUCCGGAGCCCUGCCAGGCGCAGGAUGCUUGCUGUGCUUUCCCACUAGAACCCAGCACAGCGGCUGGUCGUAGAUGCUGAGUCAGGGUUUGGUGAAUGAAUAAACGAGCACCAAGCAGUCUGCUAAGAAGAUGCAAAUAUUCUCUGUCCAAGGGGCGAUCCCCACCCAGCCCACCCACCUCACCCCUGCCGCUCUGCUGAAGAGGGGAUGAGAUAACUCAGAAGGGAGCUUCCCUGCCAGCGAGGAGAUCGAGGUCUUCCCCUGGAAGGGGUCUUCCACAAGCCUUGCCUGCAUUAGUUUCCAUGGUAAUUUCGCGUACUGCACAUCUGUACAUGCACCUUUACCCUGAUUGAUGAAUAAUAAAAUUCGGUGGAAGAGACGGGACGGUGACUUUUGCCGAAGGAGCAUUGACCGUCGCAGUUCACACUUUCUCUUUAACGCUGUCUUAAGUGUCACGCAAUGGGCAGGUGCGGACUAGAGACUUACUGCAGGAGUCUCUGGGAUUGGCGCCCAACGGUGGGGGCUUGACCCACAAGCAACCACCUGCUCAGUGAAGCUACUCAGAAUAAAAAAGAAUAAAAGGAAAUCAGCGACCAAGGGGCAAGAGUCAUCAAAGGACGUACACAGGAGCAUAAACUCGAAAAAGAGAAAGAGCUGGAGCCCUAAGAAGUCUUCACGUUCCUCUACUUCCCGCCCGGACCUUUUGGUUUUGCAAAACUUUGCUUAUGUGGGUGCUGCUUGGGAUGUACUUCCUAAUAAAGGAACUGGGCAGUCUGUUCAUCCCCAGUGUAGGUCUGGAUCUUUCUGAUUGCAUCCAUUUGUAGUUGUCUUUCUGUGAUUUCUAGCAGAGGACGCUUGCAGCUAGAAUGAAUACAGCAUCUGUUCUCUUAUACUUCGUGUGUAUCCAGGCACUGAAUAAAUAAGAACUAUGGACUCUUAA